rnacentral:rRNA from 1 species
AGAGUGAACGCUGGCGGCAGGCCUAACACAUGCAAGUCGAACGGCAGCACAGGGGAGCUUGCUCCCUGGGUGGCGAGUGGCGGACGGGUGAGGAAAACGUCGGAAUCUGCCUAUUUGUGGGGGAUAACGUAGGGAAACUUACGCUAAUACCGCAUACGACCUACGGGUGAAAGCGGAGGACCUUCGGGCUUCGCGCAGAUAGAUGAGCCGACGUCGGAUUAGCUAGUUGGCGGGGUAAAGCCCACCAAGGCGACGAUCCGUAGCUGGUCUGAGAGGAUGAUCAGCCACACUGGAACUGAGACACGGUCCAGACUCCUACGGGAGGCCAGCAGUGGGGGAAUAGUUGGACAAGUGGGCG